rnacentral:rRNA from 1 species
AUGCACGCUGACAGAAUGCUUAACACCUGCAAGUCAACUUGAACUUCGGUUUGGGUGGCGGACGGGUGAGUAACGCGUAAAGAACUUGCCUCACAGCCAGGGACAACAUUUGGAAACGAAUGCUAAUACCUGAUAUUAUGAUUAUAUGGCAUCGUAUAAUUAUGAAAGCUAUAUGCGCUGUGAGAGAGCUUUGCGUCCCAUUAGCUAGUUGGAGAGGUAACAGCUCACCAAGGCGAUGAUGGGUAGCCGGCCUGAGAGGGUGAUCGGCCACAAGGGGACUGAGACACGGCCCUUACUCCUACGGGAGGCAGCAGUGGGGAAUAUUGGACAAUGGACCGAGAGUCUGAUCCAGCAAUUCUGUGUGCACGAUGAAGUUUUUCGGAAUGUAAAGUGCUUUCAGUUGGGAAGAAAAAAAUGACGGUACCAACAGAAGAAGUGACGGCUAAAUACGUG